UACGUAGGGUGGCAAGCGUUGUCCGGAAUUAUUGGCGUAAAGCGCGCGCAGGCGGUCCUUUAAGUCUGAUGUGGAAAUCUUGCGGCUCAACCGCAAGCGGUCAUUGGAAACUGGGGGACUUGGAGUGCAGAAGGAGGAAAGCGGAAUUCCACGUGUAGCGGUGAAAAUGCGUAGAGAUGUGGAGGAACACCAGUGGCGAAGGCGGCUUUCUGGUCUGUAACUGACGCUGAGGCGCGAAAGCGUGGGGAGCAAACAGG
rnacentral:rRNA from 1 species